AAAGGAUGGUGAGGGCAUUUCUAAAGCAUUUCCAUAAAUCUCUCCCAACUCUCAUAUAUUGAUUCUCCUUCAAAUUGAGUAAAAAAACUGAUAUCAUUUCUAUGUUU